rnacentral:rRNA from 1 species
UACGUAGGGUGCGAGCGUUAAUCGGAAUUACUGGGCGUAAAGCGUGCGCAGGCGGUUCUCCAAGUCCGUUGUGAAAGCCCCGGGCUCAACCUGGGAAUUGCAUUCGAGACUGAAUAGCUAGGGUACGGUAGAGGGAAGUGGAAUUUCCGGUGUAGCGGUGAAAUGCGUAGAUAUCGGAAGGAACAUCAGUGGCGAAAGCGACUUCCUGGACCAGUACCGACGUUCAGGCACGAAAGCGUGGGGAGCAAACAGG